ACCAUCCCCAGACUAAACGGACCCAACUAGCAGACAGACAAUUCAUUCCAACAAAGCACGACCAAUUGACCAUACAGUCUAUGCCCAGAUGACACAACAAAUACAUCACUCAUGGUGUGGCCCUAUUUAGAUUCAUCUGAAGUGACUUGCACUACAAGAAACCUUGCAAUCUAUGACGGAUUCUUCGUGACAGAUUCAGACAACGUCACCAAUCGAGAUGUGCAGUGUUGGAUAACCAGCCCAGGGCCCGAUACACUCUCGCAUAUAAAACCUGCACCAAAACCCUAACCCACCCGGCUGCCUAUCUUCUUUCAAUCCACCGCCGCCCCCUUUCCGGUCAGUGCCCUCCACCCCACCAAGUCAUCAACGAAUCCCAUCCUUGGAGGAGUCUGGCGCAUCAAGCAUGGAGGCCGAGGGUGGCCCUUCACCUUCACCAAAACUCUUUGGAUCCGGCCAUGUAUGAGGCCGAUGGUGGUGCCCCCACCCAACCAUUGGUAGAUCUAGCGCUUGGAGCAGAGCAGGCCAUCUGAGGUUAGUGGAGGAUGGACUAACACUUAUCACGGGAGAGUUGUGGGCUGAGCUUUGAGUUUUCCUUCAACUCAGGCGAGAUUGUCACUGACGAGGUUGUAGAUAGGGUUGCGCAUCGCUCUGGACAGCCACUCUAAGUGGCAACGAGAUGGACUCUGGUGUGGCAAAGUGAAAUGGCUAAGCGGUGAAAUUUAGAGGGGAUAGCUAAGUACAAUUGCAACUGACAUAGUUGUGGUUGAUAUGUCCUACUGUAUUGGAACUUAUAAGGAGAACUAGAAGUGACAGUCGUCCGUGUUCUUGCCUUCCCUGGUUUUCAGAUAGCAGCACCAACACCAAGACAAGAUAGCAGCAAGAGGACUUCGACAAGGUAUGUAGUUUUCAGAAAGGGAAUCGGUGGAUAAACAAUAUUGGAGAAAUACUUGAAGAAGGAGCAUCAUUCCAUUGAGGUGGCUGUAUUGCUUAUUUACUUGGUGGCAUGGAGAGACGAUUGUUGGUUGUAUGAAUUAGUCUUGUUUUUAAAUUGCUUCAUCAUCAAUGUGUAAAUAUUUAUAUAUA